ACGAACGCUGGCGGCGUGCUUAACACAUGCAAGUCGAACGGAAAGGCCCUGCUUUUGUGGGGUGCUCGCGUGGCGAACGGGUGAGUAACACGUGAGUAACCUGCCCUUGACUUUGGGAUAACUUCAGGAAACUGGGGCUAAUACCGGAUAGGAGCUCCUGCUGCAUGGUGGGGGUUGGAAGGUUUCGGCGGUUGGGGAUGGACUCGCGGCUUAUCAGCUUGUUGGUGGGGUAGUGGCUUACCAAGGCUUUGACGGGUAGCCGGCCUGAGAGGGUGACCGGCCACAUUGGGACUGAGAUACGGCCCAGACUCCUACGGGAGGCAGCAGUGGGGAAUAUUGCACAAUGGGCGGAAGCCUGAUGCAGCAACGCCGCGUGCGGGAUGACGGCCUUCGGGUUGUAAACCGCUUUCGCCUGUGACGAAGCGUGAGUGACGGUAAUGGGUAAAGAAGCACCGGCUAACUACGUG
rnacentral:rRNA from 1 species